AACGCACGAGACCUGCGGACCUGCGGAAGGAUCAUUAGUGAACGCCCUCACGGGCUUAUAACUAUUCCAAACCUCUGUGAACCGUGCCCUUCGGGGCUAUUUUACAAACAUGGUGUAAUGAACGUCAUAUAUCAUAACAAAACAAAACUUUUAACAAUGGAUCUCU
rnacentral:misc_RNA from 1 species